rnacentral:rRNA from 1 species
UUCUGGACGNAAACUGACGCUGAGGCGCGAAANCCAGGGGAGCGAACGGGAUUAGAUACCCCGGUAGUCCUGNCCGUAAACGAUGGGUACUAGGUGUAGGAGGUAUCGACCCCUUCUGUGCCGGAGUUAACGCAAUAAGUACCCCGCCUGGGGAGUACGACCGCAAGGUUGAAACUCAAAGGAAUUGACGGGGGCCCGCACAAGCGGUGGAGUAUGUGGUUUAAUUCGACGCAACGCGAAGAACCUUACCAGGUCUUGACAUUGAUGGACAGAACCAGAGAUGGUUCCUCUUCUUCGGAAGCCAGAAAACAGGUGGUGCACGGUUGUCGUCAGCUCGUGUCGUGAGAUGUUGGGUUAAGUCCCGCAACGAGCGCAACCCCUAUCUUAUGUUGCCAGCACUUUGGGUGGGAACUCAUGAGAGACUGCCGCAGACAAUGCGGAGGAAGGCGGGGAUGACGUCAAAUCAUCAUGCCCCUUAUGACCUGGGCUACACACGUACUACAAUGGGAGUUAAUAGACGGAAGCGAGAUCGCGAGAUGGAGCAAACCCGAGAAACACUCUCUCAGUUCGGAUCGUAGGCUGCAACUCGCCUACGUGAAGUCGGA